ACUCCUACGGGAGGCAGCAGUGGGGAAUAUUGGACAAUGGGCGCAAGCCUGAUCCAGCAAUACCGCGUGAGGGAUGAAGGCCCUAGGGUCGUAAACCUCUGUCAGUUGGAACGAUGGGUUUGUAGGUUAAUACCCUGCAAACUUGACGGUACCUCAAAGGAAGCCCCGGCUAACUCC
rnacentral:rRNA from 1 species